AAGCCAUAAUAUGGGUAAGCUCGCAUAAGAUCCAUGUAUCUCUCCGAAGCAUCAAAUAAAGAGUCUCCAUCAUUAUGAGUGAAUCUGGUAAUCUGGUUCCUUAAGUCU